AGGUUUUGAAUACUUGAAAGUUAUUGUUACUUGUUAUGUAUCUGGAUCUGAAUGUUAAGUUUCUGAUGCUGAGACAGUCCAAUAAGGAUUGCUAGGUUUUUAUUAGUGUUUUUUUGGUUAAGCUGUAUUGAAAGAUCUAAAAGUUCCCAUGGUAACAGAAUUUUAUAAAGUGUUUAUUUGCUACAUUGCUUAGUCUACUAAGUUAAACAUCUUUUAACUAUGACAGUGUGCUUUGUUUCUAAGAGUUUAAAAGGAAAAAACAAUCAGGAUUUUGAUUUCAAGGCAUCAAUACAAUUAUUAUGGAAUAAUGGUAACAAAAAAAUUAUAUUUCAUGUAGAUAAGUUUUUGAAGUGCUAUAUAUUAGAAGUCCAGAGAAGGAGAUCUGGUGGAGAAGUGAUUGAGUGUGUUAUUAAAGUAUGUGGAACUGGCUCUGCUUUGAUCUCUGGGACCAGUGCUUCAAACACAAGCUGUUACAAUUGGAAUUUGUAAUAUACAAACUGCAGAUUUUUUUUUAUAACCGAAUGGACAGCAUCACAACUGUUUGAUGGGCAUGAACCAGGGGCUGUGUUGUGUAAUGUCGUCAGAAGAUCUUGUAUGACUUCAAUAGUUUAUUUGUCAGAUCAAAAAUCCAUUCCUUUUUGUCUCAAUGUUAAUAACAUCAGUAUGUAGUUGCUGUACAUUUUGCCAAGGUAUGUUAAAACCAUUAUUGGUGAUAUUUUGAAUAUAUAUUUUGUUUCAUUUGGAAAUGCUAAAGAAAUGCAUUGUUUUCAGUAGAACCAGCAUUGUAAUAUUAAUUUCAUUAUAUUAAAACCAUCAUUUUAUUAUAACAUUUCAUUGGAGCCAUCUUUGUAAUAUUACAUGACUGAAAUUUGAUCAGGUUUUCCGAGUAAUGAUGUAAAUUUUGAGAAGCAAGAUGUUAUCAUUUAUAAUCGAUAUUCCAUACAUCUGUCGAGUCAUAUACCCAAACAAUUCCAUUUUUUCAUAUAAUAUAUUCAUCUGACAUUGAAGAAUGUUGUUUUCACUUAGACCUUGAUCUAUAUAGUGACAAAGAGUGUGGUCCUGUGUCCCAGGCAGAUAUUAUUUACGCUGUCUAAAGUUGAUUUAUCUGGUCCUUUACUACCCAUUAGUAACUGCCUCUCACAAAUUGUAAUGAUUAUCUGUGAAUGUUUUUCUUCAGAAAUGCAACAUUUAUACUACCUUUAAAUUUAUUUUAAAGCAAAUCAGCAAACUUACAUGGGUCCUGCUUUAAAGGCAUUGCAGACAAGCUAGAGCAAAAUUAUAUAUAAGGUCUAGUCCUGAAGUCUUUCCAGGUUUCAACCUCCCUGGAAGAUGUGAUAAUCUGUUGUUCAGUUGCUGUAAGAAUCUGAUGUUAAAGCCAUGUUUAUUACUUCACGUCUAUGGAGGCCUUUUGCCAUUUGAUGCUCAUCUGUUGUGUGUUGGUACCAUUUGUGUUCUGUUGACUGUAAUGGUUGGUUCAACAUGUAAAAAUAUUUGACGAUUCAGUUUUCAAAAGAUCUAUUUUUUACAUUUGGUAAUAGAUAGUUUGGAUUUCAUUAUACAUAAAUGUUAAAAUAUUUGAAGAUAGUUUUCAAAAAUUUGAUUUUUGAAUCAUGCAGUGUCUCUAAAUUGACGAUUUUGGAUAUAAUGACAUGCAUCAAGGAUUAUGCUUGUUGGUAAUUGCCUGUAAAACUACAUUUCCUUCAUAUAGUAGCCCAUCAGGAUAUCCAUAUUAUACCCAUAUAGAUAUAUGUAGUGUAUCUUUUCUGGGACCUCCUUCAUAACAGUCCUGGACACCUGUUGUUAGAUGAUGGGCUGAUUUGCAUGCUUUCAUACCUACAAGCAAUACUGAAUCUGCGCAAUUUUUCACUAAAAUUAGCUUUAUUGAUAUAAAUAUCUGCAUGAAAAAGAUUUUCCCUUAUGUGGAACUGUUUAAGAAUGGCUGAAAGUUGUGUGCCACUGUCUGUUAAUGUUAAGUACAGGAGAUAUUGCCAGUAUAAACAUUGUUAUCUAUUAGCUGUUAUGUACCAUUGAUGAAUGUGUUCAGUAGAUGAUUUUAUAAAAACAGAACCUGUUUCCCAUGUAAUUACAUUCUAUAAAUUGUCCUGUAUAUAUCUACAUAUUUUAAAUGUGUGUCAGACAAUUAAGUGGAGAUAUAUAUUGACUGAAAAUUUGGUUGGCCUUAAUUUGGUGGUAGUCUAGUGUUUGAUGACUUUUGCAAAUAUGUUGUUAACAAUAACGUUUUGUUAUUCCAGCCCUUAUGGCAUGAGGCAUGAAGAUGAAAGUUUUAAUAUGAAACUCUGCAGCAAAAACCACCCUUAAAUCUGCAUAAAUGUGGUGAGAAUAAUAAUGUUAGGGCUGUUCCGCCUAAUUAAAACAGUUGGACCGGUUGAACCUGCAAGAAAAAUGCCAAGUACAGAUCAGGAUAGAGGCUUGUCUGCGGAAUAUUUGGCACGUGCAGUUUGAGGGGUCCAGCUGUACCUGUCCGAAACUUUUUUGCUGAAUAUCAGUAGUUUUUAGAAUUUCAGCAUAAAAAGUAGGGUUGGUGAACUCCACAUAUUUCAAGGAUCAUUGUGCUAUAUUGUAUGAAUGAAAUGAUUGGUUUCUUCAUUUUAGUUAAUUGAUGAUGCUUGACAGGAAAUUCUGAAACUGCAUUUCUAGCUUUACAUAUAUCAGUUCCAACAUCCGGUACAAGUGCAUUCGCGUAUCAAGGAAUAUUUCUAGACCACCUGAACCAUUUCAACCUGGUUAUGCGAGAUGCGACCUAGAUUUAGUUUUUAAUUCCAAAACAAGGAAUGAUUCAAUGAUAAAAAUAUAUUUGUUACUGUUUCACAAGCAGGCAUAUUUCUUAAUUUAAAAGUUUUGGCAGACACCACAAACAGUAGAUUUUUACCAGGACACUGUGAUACUGAUGAUAUCUAAAAAUAGGUAUUUGUCAAAUAUUAGAUUUCUUAAAAAUAUUUGCUUUGGUUUCAAAGUGGACUUAAAGUUUCAUGCUUCAUGCAUGUCUCCUGGUUCAAGGUACACGCAGUACCUGGUUUUUGAUUUAGUAGUCCUUGUGAGCUUUCUGUACUCUUUGCUCAAGGGAUUCUGUAUAGUACCUAGAAUAGUGUUAGCAUAAAUUAUUGGUUAUAUGCUUGAUUGUCUACCCUUUGUUUGCUUUGUUUUAUGCUGUGUUUAGAAAUCAUGAUUUCAACGGUUUGAAUUAUUAUUAUCAAUAAGGUGUGAAAAAUUGAAUUUAAUAUGCAGUGUGAUCAUUUUCGGUGUGAAAAUUUUAGACAAACAUUUUCUUUUGUAUAUUAGUGUCUAUACCUCUUUUCUGAAAAGUUUACUUUUGUGCUGAUUUUGUUUUGCUGACAAAAUUGUAAUUAUUGUUUGUUUUGAUUGUUGUUUAGUCAUAACUUUCCCUCACUUUUAAUCCAAGUCAAACGCAAGUUCUGACCUCAGCCCAAGUCCUGUGGUAGUCGAUGAGUGAUGAAACAGCAGGUGUGAACAUACUGGAAGCUGUAGUCACAAACCUUCACAUAGGCGGCCCAGGGUAUAGGGUAACCUCUUACAAAAAUAUUCAGGCGACUGGAUUCUGAUCCCAAAUUUUGAGAAUAUAACUUGCAAGUUAUUAUGCAGUUACUGUCUUUGUUGGGUGUACUUGGGUUCAAGGUAAUGAUUUACAUCAACCUAUUUAAUACAUGGUGGUAUAUCGUGUCUAGUUUGUACGUUUGCAUCCAUCCAUAGUAAAAAAGAUUGUUUACAUAGUGUCACGAAUGCCUCAAUUCAAAUUCAGUCAUAAUUUGGAUGUGUGAAGUUCUUCACCAAAGUAACUUUCAGUGGUCAUUUGUCAAGGUUAUGGGUCAGAUUUCUUUUGAAUGAAAUGCUUGUGUAUAACAUGUCUUCAAAAUGCCUCAACAGAUUUAGUUUUAUAGUAAUGUUAUUGUGUCAAAGUUGAGGCUAAAGGGUCAAAGUUCCCACUUGACUUCUUGAGGUAAUGCUUUCCUCAUGGGGUUUUGCUAUUCUCAUAGUAAACAUGUAUUACCAAAUUAACUUUGUGAUUGAAAUCUUAAGACUUGUGUAAUUUGUGUAAGAAAAUUGUCCAUCAACAUGGAUUUGUGCAUUAUGUGAUGUACAUUCUGGUAUGGGAGAUACUUGUAGGAGUAUUUUAGGAUUUGAUGCGAGUUAAAAAAUUUGUGAGAGAGUGUCAGAAUUCUGUAUGUUUGAUUGUGUGGAGAGUGUAUAUGCCAGCUGAUGACCUGUCAGCAUAUUUUCAUGUAUUUAAGUCUGCAUAUUUUCAUAAACUUAGUACAAAAUUUUCAUAUCAAAUCAUCCACAAAUUUUAUCAACUUGUAUGUAUUUUCCUCUAAAAUUAUGAUUGUUAUAUCUGUUCUUCUGUUGAUGUUUAAAGUUGUACUGGUAACACGCCUGUGCAGGGUCAAGUGGGCUUGAUCAGCAUAACUAUGUGGCAAAGAUAUGAAUCUUUUCUAGGAUGAAAUAAGAAUCAUGGAUGAUUGAGAUAUGUUGUUAGGUUAAUUAUAUAGACUUUGGUAAUAGUUUUGGGACUGUGCUCAUGUCUUACAGCAAUUAGAUAUAGUGCAUUCCUUAUUAUAGCAAAGUCUUCAGUGAUUUGAAGUAAAUUUAGAGGUCAGGUUGUAAAGUUUCUUCCUGAAAAAUAUUUUUUAAAUUCUGAUCUUCAUUUUUUUAUGGCUAAAGCAAGUGUUUGAAUUUGUUUUAUUUUCCAGAAAUUCAAAUAAGUAAAAAUUGCAAAUUGUUAAAAAGUUCUAGGCUACAUUUAUGUACAUAUACAGUAAUACUGUAAAAAUAAUUUGGAUGCAGGUGCUUCAGAUUUUAGCAGGAUUUCGCCUCUAAUUAUAUUUGUACCUAGGAUUUUAUCAAUGGCUGAGUUACAAUGUGUCUGUAAGUGUCCCCCUUUUUUAUGUAACCAGUAACUUGUCAGAACACAGUACUGGCAGCUAACUUGUAAAUACAAACUUGUGUAGAUUUGUAAAGUAGUAUAAGCCAUGUACCUAGUUUUAUUUUGUACAAUUAAAACUUAAUUUAAGACUGGAAAAAAUAAAAUUGGGAGUUAUGAGUGAUAAAAUAACAAGCAGCUAUGCAGUCAAAAUUAUGAUGGGUGUCACGAAUUCAAAAAAUUAUUCUGUAAGGAAUUACGAAGAAGAAUGUGUAAACUUUAAUGAUAAUGCAACUUCACAUUCAUAAUUGUGUAAUACAUCUGUAUAGUUUCAUGACAACUCAUCAAUUAAACAAGAAUUCACUGUU